GAUGAACGCUGGCGGCGUGCCUAAUACAUGCAAGUCGAGCGAACAGACGAGGAGCUUGCUCCUCUGACGUUAGCGGCGGACGGGUGAGUAACACGUGGAUAACUUACCUAUAAGACUGGGAUAACUUCGGGAAACCGGAGCUAAUACCGGAUAAUAUAUUGAACCGCAUGGUUCAAUAGUGAAAGACGGUUUUGCUGUCACUUAUAGAUGGAUCCGCGCCGCAUUAGCUAGUUGGUAAGGUAACGGCUUACCAAGGCAACGAUGCGUAGCCGACCUGAGAGGGUGAUCGGCCACACUGGAACUGAGACACGGUCCAGACUCCUACGGGAGGCAGCAGUAGGGAAUCUUCCGCAAUGGGCGAAAGCCUGACGGAGCAAUGCCGCGUGAGUGAUGAAGGUCUUCGGAUCGUAAAACUCUGUUAUUAGGGAAGAACAAAUGUGUAAGUAACUAUGCACGUCUUGACGGUACCUAAUCAGAAAGCCACGGCUAACUACGUG
rnacentral:rRNA from 1 species